AGUGAACGCUGGCGGUAGGCCUAACACAUGCAAGUCGAACGGCAGCACAGUAAGAGCUUGCUCUUACGGGUGGCGAGUGGCGGUCGGGUGAGGAAUACAUCGGAAUCUACUUUUUCGUGGGGGAUAACGUAGGGAAACUUACGCUAAUACCGCAUACGACCUACGGGUGAAAGCAGGGGAUCUUCGGACCUUGCGCGAUUGAAUGAGCCGAUGUCGGAUUAGCUAGUUGGCGGGGUAAAGGCCCACCAAGGCGACGAUCCGUAGCUGGUCUGAGAGGAUGAUCAGCCACACUGGAACUGAGACACGGUCCAGAGUCCUACGGGAGGCAGCAGUGGGGAAUAUUGGACAAUGGGCGCAAGCCUGAUCCAGCCAUACCGCGUGGGUGAAGAAGGCCUUCGGGUUGUAAAGCCCUUUUGUUGGGAAAGAAAAGCAGCAGGUUAAUACCCCGCUGUUCUGACGGUACCCAAAGAAUAAGCACCGGCUAACUUCGUG
rnacentral:rRNA from 1 species